GACGAACGCUGGCGGCGUGCUUAACACAUGCAAGUCGGGCGACGCUCUUCCUUCGGGGAGAUGACGGAGCGGCGAACGGGUGAGUAACACGUGGGCAACCUGCCCCUAGCUCUGGGACAACACCGGGAAACCGGUGCUAAUACCGGAUACGACAUCGAGCGGCAUCUCUCGAUGUGGAAAGUUUUUUCGGCUAGGGAUGGGCCCGCGGCCUAUCAGCUUGUUGGUGGGGUAAUGGCCCACCAAGGCGACGACGGGUAGCCGGCCUGAGAGGGCGACCGGCCACACUGGGACUGGGACACGGCCCAGACUCCUACGGGAGGCAGCAGUGGGGAAUAUUGCGCAAUGGGCGAAAGCCUGACGCAGCGACGCCGCGUGAGGGAUGACGGCCUUCGGGUUGUAAACCUCUUUCAGCAGGGACGAAUUCAGACGGUACCUGCAGAAGAAGCACCGGCCAACUACGUG
rnacentral:rRNA from 1 species